GGUCUUUCCUGUGCUGUGCUCAUGAUAGUGAGUAAGCCUCACAUGGUCUGAUGGCUUUAUAAGGCUAAGUUUCCUAGCACAAGUUCUCUUUGCCUGCUGCAAUCCAUUUAAGAUGUGACUUGUUCCUCCUUGCCUUCUGCCAUGAUUGUGAGGCCUCCACAGCCAUGCGGAACUGUUGAAAUAUACACUACCUGAGGCUGGAUAACGCAUGAACUCUGUUGACAAUUAUAUUUUUUGUCUUUUUAAUUAACUCAUUUGGAGACAGUGUCCUGAGGACCUAAGCCUAAGAAUCUUCAAGAUGGAAGAGUAGAGUGAGCAAGGAAUGAGCCAGAAGGCUCUUGUCCUCUGUGUGCAGCUCUGGGCAGCCAGCAGGUGGAUAUGGGACUUGGCCUGCUGGAGGGGCCCUGGCAAGAGGAGCUGGCAGGAGCAGAUGGCAAAGAUCACUCACUCUGGGAGACACUGGCUUCCCUGUUGUGAGGACACUCAAGCAGCCCUAAUCAGAGGUCCAUGUGGUAAGGUACGAAGGCCUCCUGUCAAUUCUAGUGAGAAACCUAGGUUUCUUGCUAACAGCUAUGUGAGUGAGCCAUCUUGGAAGCAGAUUCUCCCACCCCAGAUGAGCCUUCAGAUGACUGGAGUUCCGGCUAAAUGCAAUCUCAUCAGAGACCUCAAGCCAAAAUUACCCCGCUUCCAAAUUCCUGACCCUACAGAAACUGUGUGAGAUAAUAUAUGCUUAUUGUUUAAGCCACUAAGUUGUUCUUUUGGUGGGGGGGAUGGGUGAUUUGUUAUGCAACAACAGAAAACUAAUACAGAAAUUAUACCUGCCAUUAUCAAACAGGCCUCCAGUGAGGGUUGAUGGUAUCCUUGAAUAUUUAGGGAAACUAAGCAUGUUAAGUGUAAAUACAGAAACUGUCUUUGUCAAAACUAAAUAAAGCAAGGGAAAUGGAACUUGAGUGGCUGAAAAUAAAGAUUGAAUGAAAACUCUCUAAUCCCUUGAUCAGAAGCCACGCAUAAUAAAUGACCCACCAUGUAUUUAUGUCAGUGGCUCUUUCUAUCACUAACUAUUACACAUUUUUCUGCAUUUCCCAGAACUGAGUGGGAGAUGAGAAGGGAAGGAGGUUUGGAGAUCACGUUUAGAAGAAGAGUAUGUGGGGCGGCUGUGACCACUCCUGCCAUGUGGACUAUAGUGCUUUUGUGAUCCGUUACCGUCACAAAAUAGAAAUGACACUAUACACUUAAUCACCAUCUGUUCCUCAUUUAUACACUCAGGUCCACUGUGGUUUGAGUACAUUGCUUUAUUUGAUUUAGAUUAGUUCACAAAGCAACAAACACGAGAAACCUGUUAUGAGGACAGAGGGUUCCUGCUAAGCAUUUUUUCUCUCCAGUGUCAGAAAUGUCCAGUAGUGCAAAUGGAUCCUGCAGAGUUCAAGGAGAAGAGCUUUCAUUUGGAAAGUCCUCUUGUGUACUCCAUCUCUUUUCAUUUGAUGGGGCUCUGUGUUCCCCACGUGUACUUUUUCAGAGGGGAGGCUGAAGCCCUGGCAAAGAUUCAGAAAUACUAACCAGCUCCUGUUUGAGUUCAUUACAGCGAAGUCAAUUUUUCUUUUUUCAUUAUUUUCUUUUUCUCUUCUUCCAGUGAUGCAACUUGGACCAAUUUCCACAGAGCUAAACCUCAGGGACAUAUUAUAUAGAUGGAGACAUAGGGUUCUGUUUUUUUUUUUUUUUUAAUAUUUUCAAUGUUGAAUCAUAGGCUAUUAGAGCUAGAGAAUGUCUUUGGAAUCCCUUGAUCUAGCAGUUUGGAAACUGAGUCCCACAGAGCCCUGGGGUUCCUUAGGAUUGCUCUGGGGUCAAUCCAGUUUUAUCUCUUUUCAUAUACUUGUGUUCUAUCCAUAUUAAACAAGAAGUUUUGAGGCCUCUGAUUUAGUCUACUGCACUCACAUUUAAGAUGUUUGAACUGAAGUUAAGAGAGAGAAAUUGAUUUGUGCAGUCAUAUAAUUUGUGAUGGUUGGUUUGAGCUGAGCCUCCAGUCUGGAGUUUCAGACUGCCUGGAGGGUGGUCUUCAAACACACCAUACCAUUUUCCAAAUAACAGGAUAAAUGUUACAUAUAGGGGUCUCAGCAGUAGAGCUGAUUCUGAAUGUGAAAUGGAAGGAUAUGGCCCAUUUUGGAUGGCUUUCAUCUCCUCCUUCUCCCCAGUGCAUUGACUUACAAAAUCAUUGAAAAGAUACUUUAUCUUGGCUAGAUUUUUAGUUACUAGUGCCUUCUGGCAUUUUACAUAUCUAGUCAAAUCAUUUUUCUUAGAAAUUAUACUGCAGAUAGAAAGAACCCCUUUCUUAAAGUCAUGGACACAUUUAAUAUUCUAAGAAUUUUGAAUUAUUAAAAAUAUCAUACCCCUAGCUCCCCCAAAAAGCCUAUCUUCACCUGGGUUGGAUCUGGACAAUGUAAAAGUGACACAGUAGGUGGCUCCCUUGAGCAAAAGUGAAACCAUUUUAAUUCACUAUGCUCCUGCAGUUUCUCUAGAAUAGAUGAGAACACCUGUGGCUUUAGGAACUGGAGAUCACUCAGCUGGCCUGCAGGGGCUGCUUAUCAAAGGGAAACAGCAUAAGGCAUUAAAAUCCCUCCAGUCCUGCCUAUGGGAAACUCAUCUGUAGAGGUCCUUUCUCUCUUUCUUUCUUUCUUUCUUUCUUUCUUUCUUUCUUUCUUUCUUUCUUUCUUUCUUUCUUUCUUUCUUUUUUCUUUUUUUUUUUUCUUUUUUGGAGACGAAGUCUCACUCUGUCGCCCAGGCUGGAGCGCAAUGGCGCGAUCUCGGGUCACUGCAACCUCCGCCUCCCAGGUUCAAGCUAUUCUCCUGCCUCAGCCCCCCGAGUAGCUGGGAUUACAAGCACCCGCCACCAUGCCCAGCUAAUUUUUGUAUUUUUAGUAGAGAUGGGUUUCACCAUGUUGGCAAGGCUGGUGUGGAACUCCUGACCUCGUGAUCUGCCUGCCUCGGCCUCCCAAAGUGCUGGGAUUACAGGCCUGAGCUACCGCACCCAGUUUUCUUUUUCUUUUUUUCUUUCUUUUUUUUUUUUGAGAAGGAGUCCUGCUCUGUUGCUCAGGCUGUAGAGCAGUGGUGCAAUCUCAGCUCACUGCAACCUCUGCCUCCCUCCCGGGUUUAAGCCAUUCUCGUGCCUCAGCCUCUGAGUAGCUGGGGCUACAGGUGCCCACCACCACGCCCGGCUAUUUUUUUGUAUUUUUAGUAGAGACGGGGUUUUGCCAUGUUGGCCAGACUGGUCUCGAACUCCUGGCUUCGAAUGAUCCGCUCGUCUCGGGCUCCCAAAAUGCUGGGAUUAUAGGCGUGAGCCACUGCACCCGGCAGAGAUUUUCAAUGUAAAACUUUCCACAAAGUUGUAAAGGAAUCAAUUUAAUUACAAAGCAAACAAUAAUUAAAAUUAUUUCUAAUUUUUCCAUGUGAAAAAACAUUUCAAACUUUGGUUGUAGCUUGGGUCGUUUAUGUUGUGAACUAGACAGAUAAAAGCAAGUGGUGUUUUCUGAAUUUUUCUCAGUCCCCCCUGUCUCUGGUUCCCUAUUUCCCUGCCAGCAGAUGACAAUUCAUUUUGAUAUUUGUAACCAACUGAAAACAUUCCUUCUGUGAACCUAAGUUGGAUAAAUAUGUCCACAGUGAAAGUAUUUUUCACCUGAUGAAAAUGAAACCAAAUUCCAGAUAUUUUCGUCUUUCUUAGUCUGUGAAAAGACUUUAUCAUGAAACUCUUGAAUUACUUAUCAGUAUGUAAAAUUGAGUCAAACUUAUAUUUUGACUGAGUAAAACCCACAGUUCUUGAAAUACUUCAGGAUUCUUGUUUACUUGAUCGAAUUGAUCGAUGGCUAGCAACAGACCUGUAAUCAUGUAUUUUAAUGUGAAUAAAGCUAAUUAAAUGUUUUU